UAUUCUGCCCCAUGGGGAAGGAUGAGAAGCUUCGACUAAGGUUCGACUCGAGCGCAGCGAGAGAACGUUGCCGCAGGCAACGGCCCGAAGGGCGAGGCGCUUUAGCGCCUAGUAAUCCUUCCCCCACCACCA
rnacentral:sRNA from 1 species